ACGAGCCGUGUGAGGUGAAAGUCUCAAGCACGGUUUUGAAGGGGAGGGGGAGAAGGUGACUUCUCUCUCGACCCCUAA
rnacentral:ncRNA from 1 species